UGGGGAAUAUUGCACAAUGGGCGCAAGCCUGAUGCAGCCAUGCCGCGUGUGUGAAGAAGGCCUUCGGGUUGUAAAGCACUUUCAGCGAGGAGGAAGGUGGUGAGCUUAAUACGCUCAUCAAUUGACGUUACUCGCAGAAGAAGCACCGGCUAACUCCGUGCCAGCAGCCGCGGUAAUACGGAGGGUGCAAGCGUUAAUCGGAAUUACUGGGCGUAAAGCGCACGCAGGCGGUUUGUUAAGUCAGAUGUGAAAUCCCCGGGCUCAACCUGGGAACUGCAUUUGAAACUGGCAAGCUAGAGUCUCGUAGAGGGGGGUAGAAUUCCAGGUGUAGCGGUGAAAUGCGUAGAGAUCUGGAGGAAUACCGGUGGCGAAGGCGGCCCCCUGGACGAAGACUGACGCUCAGGUGUGAAAGCGUGGGGAGCAAACAGGAUUAGAUACCUUGGCUAGUCCACGCUGUAAACGAUGUCGAUUUGGAGGUUGUGCCCUUGAGGCGUGGCUUCCGGAGCUAACGCGUUAAAUCGACCGCCUGGGGAGUACGGCCGCAAGGUUAAACUCAAAUGAAUUGACGGGGUCAUAGCUGUUUCCUG
rnacentral:rRNA from 1 species